rnacentral:rRNA from 1 species
UACGGGGGGGGCAAGCGUUGUUCGGAAUUACUGGGCGUAAAGAGCUCGUAGGCGGUCUGUCGCGUCUGCUGUGAAAACUCAGGGCUUAACCCUGAGCUUGCAGUGGGUACGGGCAGACUAGAGUGCGGUAGGGGAGACUGGAAUUCCUGGUGUAGCGGUGAAAUGCGCAGAUAUCAGGAGGGAACACCGGUGGGCCGAAGGCGGGUCUCUGG